AUACGUAGGGGGCGAGCGUUGUCCGGAAUGAUUGGGCGUAAAGGGCGCGUAGGCGGACCGGUAAGUCUGGAGUGAAAGUCCUGUUUUUAAGAUGGGAAUUGCUUUGGAUACUGUCGGGCUUGAGCGCAGGAGAGGUAAGUGGAAUUCCCAGUGUAGCGGUGAAAUGCGUAGAGAUUGGGAGGAACACCAGUGGCGAAGGCGACUUACUGGACUGUAACUGACGCUGAGGCGCGAAAGUGUGGGGAGCAAACAGGAUUAGAUACCCUGGUAGUCCACACUGUAAACGAUGAAUGCUAGGUGUAGGGGGUAUCGACCCCUUCUGUGCCGCAGUCAACACAAUAAGCAUUCCGCCUGGGGAGUACGGCCGCAAGGUUGAAUCUCAAAGGAAUUGACGGGG
rnacentral:rRNA from 1 species